rnacentral:rRNA from 1 species
UGGGGAAUUGUUCACAAUGGGCGCAAGCCUGAUGACGCAACGCCGCGUGGGGGAUGAAGGUCUUCGGAUCGUAAACCCCUGUCGAGUGGGACGAAUGACUUCCGGAUUAAUACCCCGGAGGAAUGACGGUACCGCUAAAGGAAGCCACGGCUAACUCUGUGCCAGCAGCCGCGGUAAUACAGAGGUGGCAAGCGUUGUUCGGAAUUACUGGGCGUAAAGGGCGCGUAGGCGGCCAUCUAAGUCAGACGUGAAAUCCCCCGGCUUAACCUGGGAACUGCGUCUGAUACUGGACGGCUGGAGUUUGGGAGAGGGAUGUAGAAUUCCAGGUGUAGCGGUGAAAUGCGUAGAUAUCUGGAGGAAUACCGGUGGCGAAGGCGGCAUCCUGGACCAAUACUGACGCUGAGGCGCGAAAGCUAGGGGAGCAAACGG